rnacentral:rRNA from 1 species
AAAGAAAGCUGGAGGCAUGCCUAACACAUGCAAGUCGAACGAAGCCUUCGGGCUUAGUGGCGCACGGGUGCGUAACGCGUGGGAAUCUGCCCCUUGCUUCGGAAUAACAGUUAGAAAUGACUGCUAAUACCGGAUGAAGUCUUCGGACCAAAGAUUUAUCGGCAAGGGAUGAGCCCGCGUAGGAUUAGGUAGUUGGUGGGGUAAAGGCCUACCAAGCCGACGAUCCUUAGCUGGUCUGAGAGGAUGAUCAGCCACACUGGGACUGAGACACGGCCCAGACUCCUACGGGAGGCAGCAGUGGGGAAUAUUGGACAAUGGACGCAAGUCUGAUCCAGCAAUGCCGCGUGAGUGAUGAAGGCCUUAGGGUUGUAAAGCUCUUUUACCAGGGAUGAUAAUGACAGUACCUGGAGAAUAAGCUCCGGCUAACUCCGUG